rnacentral:rRNA from 1 species
CCUACGGGAGGCAGCAGUGAGGAAUAUUGGUCAAUGGGCGGGAGCCUGAACCAGCCAAGUCGCGUGAGGGACGACGGUCCUAUGGAUUGUAAACCUCUUUUGUCGGGGAACAAAGUCGCCCACGGGUGGGCGGCUGAGUGUACCCGACGAACAAGCAUCGGCUAACUCCGUGCCAGCAGCCGCGGUAAUCCGGGGGAUGCGAGCGUUAUCCGGAUUUAUUGGGUUAAAGGGGUGCGUAGGCGGACAGUCAAGUCAGCGGUAAAAAUGCGGUGCUCACCGCCGUACAGCCGUUGAAACUGGCAGUCUUGAGUGAGCGAGAAGUAGGCGGAAUGCGUGGUGUAGCGGUGAAAUGCAUAGAUAUCACGAAGAACUCCGAUUGCGAAGGCAGCAUACCGGAGACCGACUGACGCUGAGGCACGAAAGCGUGGGUAUCGAACAGGAUUAGAUACCCCUGUAGUC